rnacentral:rRNA from 1 species
AGCAGCCGCGGUAAUUCCAGCUCCAAUAGCGUAUAUUAAAGUUGUUGCAGUUAAAAAGCUCGUAGUUGAAUUUCGGGAUCAAUGGGUUGGUCAUGCCCUCGGUAUGUACUGAUUUCAUUGGUUCUCACCUUCUAAGGAACCAUGAUGUCAUUCGUUUGAUGUUGUGGGGAAUUAGGACUGUUACCUUGAAAAAUUAGAGUGUUUAAAGCAGGCUAACGCUUGAAUACAUUAGCAUGGAAUAAUGAAAUAGGACAUCCGAUUCUAUUUUGUUGGUUUCUAGGAUCGACGUAAUGAUUAAUAGGGAUAGUUGGGGCAUUAGUAUUCAAUUGUCAGAGGUGAAAUUCUUGGAUUUUAUUGAAGACUAAACU